rnacentral:rRNA from 1 species
UACGUAGGGACCAAGCGUUGUUCGGAUUUACUGGGCGUAAAGGGCGCGUAGGCGGCGGACACAGUCAGAUGUGAAAUUCCCGGGCUCAACCUGGGGGGCUGCAUUUGAUACGUGUUUGCUUGAGUGGGGAAGAGGGUCGUGGAAUUCCCAGUGUAGAGGUGAAAUUCGUAGAUAUUGGGGAAGAACACCGGUGGCGAAGGCGGCGACCUGGUCCUUGACUGACGCUGAGACGCGAAAGCGUGGGGAGCAAACAGG